AUAAUUGAUUAUCAUACACUUGUAAGCCUACUUUCUUUCCUUGGUAUUGUGCUGGUACCGAGUAUUGGUUUGAUUUGUAGGAAAUCAUGUUGGAUGCAUUGACUUUUACAAGCGUAUGUUUGAUCCGAUAGGAAUCUCUUACUUUCUCGGCUGGUAACGG
rnacentral:antisense_RNA from 1 species